rnacentral:misc_RNA from 1 species
GUAGGUGAACCUGCGGAAGGAUCAUUAAUCACGAUUCCAAUCGUACAAACCUAACGCGCACUUGUUUCGUACCCCUAAGUCUGUCCACAGCCGAAAAGCAGCAGAGUUGAGGUAGUGUGAGACGUCUUUUCUCUCGGGGAAAGGCGGCUCGCUCUGCUGUCCGCAUCGGUCCUUUCGGGGCAUCGGUGGGGCUUUCACAGACUACGCUACUGCGUUCUCUGGAGUUCUCCUCGGAGAGCAUCAGCUGGGC